CAUCUUCAACACAUUUUAAACUGAACAUAAUUGCAUUUCUUUAAUACUGUGGAGUUAAAAAGCUAAAGAAAUAUGUCUCAUACAAAGAUUCAAGAAAUUUUAUGAAACAAAGUUACAAUCAUUUCUUGAGUGCCUACUAUGUGAGAGGAACUUCACAAAAUUACUUUUUAUACUCACAAUUAAUUUAUUAGACAGAUGUUGUUGUCCCCAUUUGAAAGAUGAGGAAAUUUCAUACAAUAGGAUCGUAUAACUUGCCCAAAGUUACAGAGUAAGUAUUCACACAAGCUGGAUUCACACAAGCCAAACAACUAAAACUCAAAAGUAUUUUAUUAUCCCAUGCUGAUUAAAGCUCUUCACUUUGUAAAGAGCUUAAGAUCUUCCAAACUUUAGGAGAAUGAGUUUUAAUAAUAGAUUUAUUGAUAAGUUUUAGUCCAUUAGCAUGUCAAAUAGUAAUAUCUUAUAAAUUUUGCCUCCUAUCCUAUAAAUAACAUAAUGACAACUUCAUGUCACAUUUCAAGUCUGAUAAUAACUUAAAUUUUGAAGCACUUUGCAAUUUUCAUGGCUUUCACGUAUUUUUAUCUCAAUUAAUUAUCAUAACCACACUGGUUAAUGCAUUAGCCCCAUUUUGUUCAAAGUCUAUCACUUGGCUUAGGCUCCCGUGAUUCUUAGACCAGUAUUUUUUCUAUUAUCCCAAGCUAGCCUUUCUGCAUCAUUAGAUUAUUUUAUUAAAACAAACAAAACCAAAGUGGCACCCAUGUAAAGUAACCAAGUUUUUUCCCAAGUUUAUGACAAUACUUCCGAAAAAUAAGGUUUGAUUUUUAUAUUUGGGAAGGUAUUGAAAAUUUCGCUUACCAUAUUAGUGUCAUUUUCUUUUGUUUUGCAGCCUUGCAGGACACCUCACUGAAUGUGAUGCUCAGAGUAUUGGUGGAAAAUUCAUAAGCUGGGAUUGGAUGCCAGACUGGUAAGCAAGUGCUUGUUACCAUGAUGAUUUCAGAGCAAGUGCUGUCUGCACAAUGGAAGGUCCAAAAAGCAACUAAAAAGGGAAGGAGAACAGCUGAAAGUUUUUUGAAAAGAGGAAAAAAAAAUCUCAUUUGGUCCUUGAGCACGUGCCAACCUCCCUUUUUUAUCGUGGAGCCAGCUCGCUAUCGGCAGGCUCAGACGGUCCCACCAGAAACAAUAUUUGGCUGGAAUCUGGUAAUGCUUGUUUUCACUUUAUUUAUUUAUUUAUUUAUUUAUUUAUUUAUUUAUUUAUAA
rnacentral:lncRNA from 1 species